GGUCAGUGAUGUCAUGUAAAAGGUCUGAAGCUCAGAUCCCCCUCGUCAGCCAUUUUGGCUCCCAGCAGCCCGGCUCUGUGCUCCCAUCAUGCUCUAGUGCUGCAGCGGUGGUCCCAGGAGCUGCUGACAAACAGGAAGUGACAUCACAGUGCGAGUCCGUACAGAGACCCCACGGGCUCGGUGUGAUGUCAUCCGACAGAACCAAUCGGCAUGGAGCGUGAGGCUGAGGGGGCGGGGCCUGAGUGGUGAUCUCACUCUUCUUCUGAGGCC